CUCUUGUACCAGACUCAGCUAGCUGGUAAAGGUUCCGGAUGACGAGCUCAGGGCGUAAGGGGCAGGUUUGAGGAGAGGAGAGAGACAAGACAGGGCCUUAGCUGAGCCCGUUCCAGGGAUGGCCCAACCUGAUGGACAAGAAACAAAACGGACAAGAAGAUGAGAAACAUUCAACAGACAGGAGGCCUUAGGGGAAGGGGACAGUGUACCUGACUCGGACCAGCACAUACCAAAUGAGUACCCGCAUCUUCUAGGAACACCCCCCCCCCCCCCGACAUCCCUCUGUCACAUGCCUUUGGGUAGUGUCUCUUCAGUGCCUCAACUUCCUCAAACGGCAGGAAAUAGAACGAAGUUAGGAUAUCCCUUUCUUCCUACAGUUAGUCGUUAUGGUUCCGUGAUAUUUGAGAACCGAGAUGUGUGGUUAUUAACGCACAGGUGGCCCUCUCCGGCAGACCAUAAUAGGAUGUCACAAAGCAUCUUUUGCUUACUGCUUCAGCUACUACCAUUGAUGUGUCUGGUGCUAUUCAAACCUGGGACCCAUAACCCUACCCCUAACUCUAGCCCUGUUAACAUACAAGCAGUGCUGCUGGCCCGAUAUCAGGGGCCCAGUGACUGGUUACGUCACCACCGCCACCGGGUGUGCUAGGCGUCUGUUGCAGGGUCCCAUCACCCACCACUGUCUCUGUCUGCAUGAUCUCUUUCGAUCUCUGCCUGCCCCAACUUCUCUGUCUUCCUCUCUGCAUGUGACUUCCCUGGCCCCGUUCUUUGAGACCAGUGAGCCCCACCCCCCCAAGAGCUGCCUCCAAUAAACCCGCUUCUAUACUCUUGA